rnacentral:rRNA from 1 species
AUACACUCUAUGGAGAAAAAGACAGGGAGUCUUCGGACCUUGUCGCUAUUGGAUGAGCCUAUGUCGGAUUAGUUAGUUGGUGGGGUAAAGGCCUACCAAGGCGACGAUCCGUAGCUGGUCUUAGAGGAUGAUCAGCCACAUCGGGACUGAGACACGGCCCGAACUCCUACGGGAGGCAGCAGUGGGGAAUAUUGCACAAUGGGCGCAAGCCUGAUGCAGCUAUGCCGCGUGUGUGAAGAAGGCCUUAGGGUUGUAAAGCACUUUCAGUAGUGAGGAAAAGUGUUGCGUUAAUAGCGCAAUGCUGUGACGUUAGCUACAGAAGAAGGACCGGCAAACUCCGUG